rnacentral:rRNA from 1 species
AUUGAACGCUGGCGGCAGGCCUAACACAUGCAAGUCGAGCGGAUGAAGGGAGCUUCUCCUGGAUUCAGCGGCGGACGGGUGAGUAAUGCCUAGGAAUCUGCCUGGUAGUGGGGGAUAACGUCCGGAAACGGGCGCUAAUACCGCAUACGUCCUGAGGGAGAAAGUGGGGGAUCUUCGGACCUCACGCUAUCAGAUGAGCCUAGGUCGGAUUAGCUAGUUGGUGGGGUAAAGGCCUACCAAGGCGACGAUCCGUAACUGGUCUGAGAGGAUGAUCAGUCACACUGGAACUGAGACACGGUCCAGACUCCUACGGGAGGCAGCAGUGGGGAAUAUUGGACAAUGGGCGAAAGCCUGAUCCAGCCAUGCCGCGUGUGUGAAGAAGGUCUUCGGAUUGUAAAGCACUUUAAGUUGGGAGGAAGGGCAGUAAGUUAAUACCUUGCUGUUUUGACGUUACCAACAGAAUAAGCACCGGCUAACUUCGUG